GGGCUUGACAUCCCACGAACCUGCCCGAAAAGGUGGGGUGCCCGCAAGGGAGCGUGGAGACAGGUGGUGCAUGGCUGUCGUCAGCUCGUGUCGUGAGAUGUUGGGUUAAGUCCCGCAACGAGCGCAACCCUCACCCCUAGUUGCCACCGGGUUAAGCCGAGCACUCAAGGGGAACUGCCAGCGUCAAGCUGGAGGAAGGCGGGGAUGACGUCAAGUCAUCAUGCCCCUUACGCCCUGGGCUACACACGUGCUACAAUGGCCAGUACAAAGAGACGCGAGACUGCGAAGUGGAGCUAAUCCCAAAAAGCUGGUCUAAGUUCAGAUUGCAGUCUGCAACUCGACUGCAUGAAGGAGGAAUCGCUAGUAAUCGCGCAUCAGCCCGGCGCGGUGAAUACGUUCCCGGGCUUUGUACACGCCGCCCGUCACACCACGAAAGCUGUCUGUACUCGAAGUCGCUGA
rnacentral:rRNA from 1 species